rnacentral:rRNA from 1 species
GACGAACGCUGGCGGCGUGCUUAACACAUGCAAGUCGAACGUGAUUUUUGUGGAAAUUCUUUCGGGAAUGGAAAUGAAAUGAAAGUGGCGAACGGGUGAGUAACACGUGAGCAACCUACCUUACACAGGGGGAUAGCCGUUGGAAACGACGAUUAAUACCGCAUGAGACCACAGAAUCGCAUGAUAUAGGGGUCAAAGAUUUAUCGGUGUAAGAAGGGCUCGCGUCUGAUUAGCUAGUUGGAAGGGUAAAGGCCUACCAAGGCGACGAUCAGUAGCCGGUCUGAGAGGAUGAACGGCCACAUUGGAACUGAGACACGGUCCAAACUCCUACGGGAGGCAGCAGUGGGGAAUAUUGCACAAUGGGGGGAACCCUGAUGCAGCGACGCCGCGUGAGCGAAGAAGGUUUUCGAAUCGUAAAGCUCUGUCCUAUGAGAAGAUAAUGACGGUAUCAUAGGAGGAAGCCCCGCUAAUACC